GUUGAAUAGGUUAACGUUUAUGCUAUAGUAUCAAUUUCAUGAAACAUGGAAGCAGCCUCUCUGCCCUUUUGGGUAGGGGUAAGACUGCCUACAUAUUACCCUCCCCAGACCCCACCUGGUGGGAGUAUACUGGGUAGUUGUUGUUAUCAAUUUCAUGAAAGAUAGAUUCAGGUUUGCGAUGGUGAUCAUUUAUCCUAUGUCUAGUAGAAGUUUUAUGAGAUCUUUGUUGCUUUGGACAAGUUCUUCUAACUGAUGUCCUCCAUUUUUG
rnacentral:lncRNA from 1 species